CCUCCCUCUAUAUUAUGCACUCCCCAAUUAGUUUCUCUUCUAAUCGUUCUCUGCAGCAAGAAACCAAGACCUAUUCUUUCAACUUCUAUUCAAGUUUGAGAGGAAAAGCAAAACUUGCCGUGAAUCCAAUUUCUUUUGCUGCUAGGCAAUUUCUUCUCCCCAAAGGUGAAUUCUCGCAAGUGAAUCGUGAUACCAAGGGGAAGAAAGUACUUGAGAAUUAAG